GCGACAGGCCUAACACAUGCAAGUCGAGGGGUAACAUGAGAGCUUGCUCUUGAUGACGACCGGCGCACGGGUGAGUAACGCGUAUGCAACCUUCCUUUAACUGGAGAAUAGCCCCCGGAAACGGGGAUUAAUGCUCCAUGGCACUCUGAAUACGCCUGUAUUAAGAGUUAAAGUUCCGACGGUUAAAGAUGGGCAUGCGUGACAUUAGCUAGUUGGCGGGGUAACGGCCCACCAAGGCAACGAUGUCUAGGGGUUCUGAGAGGAAGGUCCCCCACACUGGUACUGAGACACGGACCAGACUCCUACGGGAGGCAGCAGUGAGGAAUAUUGGUCAAUGGACGCAAGUCUGAACCAGCCAUGUCGCGUGCAGGAUGACUGCCCUAUGGGUUGUAAACUGCUUUUAUACGGGAAGAAAGGUAUCUACGUGUAGAUAUUUGCCGGUACCGUACGAAUAAGCAUCGGCUAGCUCCGUGCCAGCAGCCGCGGUAAUACGGAGGAUGCGAGCGUUAUCCGGAUUUAUUGGGUUUAAAGGGUGCGUAGGCGGAAUGGUAAGUCAGCGGUGAAAUACUGCAGCUCAACUGUAGAACUGCCGUUGAUACUGUCAUUCUUGAGUAUAGAUGAGGUAGGCGGAAUGAGUAGUGUACCGGUGAAAUGCAUAGAUAUUACUCAGAACACCAAUUGCGAAGGC
rnacentral:rRNA from 1 species